rnacentral:ncRNA from 13 species
CCAACGGCCCUCUUAAGGGCCACAAAUAUCCUAAUAAUCCGAAAU